rnacentral:rRNA from 1 species
UACGUAGGGUGCAAGCGUUGUCCGGAAUUAUUGGGCGUAAAGAGCUCGUAGGCGGUUUGUCGCGUCUGCUGUGAAAGUUCGGGGCUCAACCCCGGAACUGCAGUGGGUACGGGCAGACUAGAGUGCGGUAGAGGAGACUGGAAUUCCUGGUGUAGCGGUGGAAUGCGCAGAUAUCAGGAGGAACACCAGUGGCGAAGGCGGGUCUCUGGGCCGAAUCUGACGCUGAGGCACGAAAGCGUGGGGAUCAAACGGG